UACAGAGGGUGCAAGCGUUAAUCGGAAUUACUGGGCGUAAAGGGUGCGUAGGUGGUUAAAGAAGUUGGGCGUGAAAGCCCCGGGCUUAACCUGGGAAUGGCGUUCAAAACUUUUUAGCUAGAGUAUGGUAGAGGUAAGUGGAAUUUCCGGUGUAGCGGUGAAAUGCGUAGAGAUCGGAAGGAACACCAGUGGCGAAGGCGACUUACUGGACUGAUACUGACACUGAGGCACGAAAGCGUGGGGAGCAAACAGG
rnacentral:rRNA from 1 species